ensembl:lncRNA PCED1B-AS1 PCED1B antisense RNA 1
AUGGUAAGUCAAUACAAAGACAGCAUCUUCCUGGAAUUUGGUUUUGAGCUUGUUUUCAUUUCACCUUUCUCAGUAAUCUGGGUGUAGCUUAUUUUGACUCUUCCUUUGAUUAAACAAUUCAGACCCUUGGCUCUUAUUGUUCUUGCUGGUGUGGUAUGUUCACGGCUGAAAAGAUGGUCAGAAGGGGAAAGGAGGAAGUGAGAAGAAAGAAACAGGGAAAUGACAGAGUGUUGCUCAGUUACCCAGGCUGGAGUGCAAUGGCAUGAUCUUGGCUCACUGCAGCCUCCACCUCCUGGGUUCAAGCGGUUCUCGUGCCUCAGUCUCCCAAGUAGCUGGGAUUACAGGCUGGAGUGCGAUGGCAUGAUCUUGGCUCACGGCAAACUCCGCCUCCCUGGUUCAAGUGAUUCUCCUGCCUCAGCCUCCCGAGUAGCCGGGAUUACAGGCAUGUGCCACCAUGCCCCGUUGGCCAGGCUGGUCUCGAACACCUUACCUCAGGUGAUCCUCCCACCUUUGGGAUUACAGCAGGCUGAGGAAUUACCAAGGAGGCAGGAGGUGGAGCAAAACACACCAAGCCUGGUGCCAAUCAUUGACAAUAUUAUGACCCUGCAUGUGAUGGAUCAGCUGACACCAUCCAGAUCGGUAAACUGGUUCAUCUGAUCUUGUGCCCUCCACCCAGGAACUGACUCAGCGCAAGAAGACAGCUUCGACUCCUUGUGAUUUCAUCCCUAACCAAUCAGCACUCCUGGCUCACUGGCUUCCCCCAACCCACCAAAUUGUCCUUAAAAACUCUGCUCUCCAAACGCUGGGGGAGACUGAUUUGAGUAAUAAUAAAACCCUGGUCUCCUGCA